UGGUAGUCACCCGUAAUGAUGUUGACUAGCCGUUGGGUCUCGAGACUUGUGCGCAGUUAACGGCACUAAGUCGACGCAUGCGAGUACGGCUGCAAGGCUAAAACUUCAACUGAAUUGACGGGGGCCCGCACAAGCGGUGGAGCAUGUGGUUUAAUUCGAUGCAACGCGAAGAACUUUAUUACCCUUGACAUCGUGCGAACUUGGUAGAGAUACCUUGGUGCGUUCGGGAACGCACAGACAGGUGCUGCAUGGCUGUCGUCAGCUUGUGUUGUGAAAUGUUGGGUUAAGUCCCGUAACGAGCGCAACCCUUGUCCCUAUUUGCCAGCGAUUCGGUCGGGAACUCUAGGGAGACUGCCGGUGACAAACCGGAGGAAGGUGGGGACGACGUCAAGUCAUCAUGGCCCUUACGGGUAGGGCUACACACGUGCUACAAUGGCCGGUACAAUGGGUUGCAAAGCGGCGACGUGGAGCUAAUCCCAUAAAGCCGGUCUCAGUCCGGAUCGGAGUCUGCAACUCGACUCCGUGAAGUCGGAAUCGCUAGUAAUCGUGCAUCAGAAUGGCACGGUGAAUACGUUCCCGGGCCUUGUACACACCGCCCGUCACACCAUGGGAGUGGACUGCACCAGAAGUGGUUAGCCUAACUUCGGAGGUAGACAUACA
rnacentral:rRNA from 1 species